rnacentral:tRNA from 1 species
CAGGGAGACAACACAAUGAUUUUGAUGCCUGAGUGCUUUUAUUCUUAGGCCGAAAUCCUGUCACCUUAGGUCGAUCGGUACCUCAGCUUUGAAGUCAAGGAUCAACAGCAAUGUUGAUUGCUUGAUGGAGAUUUUCAGUUCCUAAACUUCGUCUAGGUCACACCCCAAAAGGGAUGAGACUCCUGGGCCAUUAGCUCAGGUGGUUAGAGCGCACCCCUGAUAAGGGUGAGGUCCCUGGUUCAAGUCCAGGAUGGCCCAUUCGGUGUUGGGGGUUUAGCUCAGUUGGUAGAGCGCCUGCUUUGCAAGCAGGAUGUCAGGAGUUCGAGUCUCCUAACCUCCACUGACCGAACUUGAUUCCCAUCUCCAACUUUUUGGAGUUGAGCUCGAUUGGAGUGUGAUUUAGAUGUGUCCGCUGGAUGACCCCAGCUUCCUGUCAUUCCAAGUUUUAGGUUGAUGCCUUGAAUUUGGUUGAUAAGAUGCUGGGCUCGGAUCAAAUGAUCAAGCAAUUGAUGAUUUGAUUUGAAGUUCUAGCAGAACCUUGACAACUGCAUAGGUGAGUCCGGAAAAAACAAAGCAUCUUACAGAUGCAUUGUUUUGAAUCCGAUCUUCUGAAAGGGAGAUUGGAUCUAGAACAAUGAAAAUUCUUUUGAGCAAGAGCCGAGACUCUUGAGCGUUCUUUGAUUGGUGUCGAGCCAAUCAGAGUUUGAUCUUGUUUUUAGCAAUAAAAACUUGAGAAUCUGCUUUCAACGGCGGUAAGCGUUCAGGAGGUUAAUU